ensembl:lncRNA
AUGAAAGGCGAGUUCACGGGUUAUUAUUGCCCAUUUUUUCUCUUUGCUCCUGCACUUCCCUGUUUCGAUUACAAAUCCCCCUCCAGGCACAAAGCAAGCUGGACACCUACAGUGCAGCUAAAGAGUUAUUUGUUCCCUAGGUGGACACUAAUGAAUGACUGCAGUGCUGCCCUGAGUGAGGGGGUCCCCACUAUUAAAAGUUUAAUAGAAAGAUCUGAGAAGCUGGGAGCCAAGAGGAGGAGGAGGGGACAAGGAGCUGUGAGUAACUCAAGUUUUUUGUUGCAGGUUGAGGCCACCAAAAUGUUUGGGGUCCUGUGGUACUGGAGGGUGCUGCUUGCGUUGCAAGGGGCAGCCAGGGAGCGAUGACGGGAGCAGCUGCCUUGCGCUCGAGAUCUCUUCUGGAAGGCAAUGCGAGAACGUUUUGAGCCUGUAGAAGCAUCCGGAAAAGAGCACUAAUACCUGAAUUUGAUGCUUGAUCUCUUUGAAACAGUCCAAUGAAGAAAAGGCCUCCAGAAAUGGUGUUUCCUAUCCAACCCGUCAGAACAGGUUUCUUAAGAUUGCUGUCGGACAGAACAUGCCGGAUUCCUGUUUGGAAAUAUCUGGAGCGGAUCCACAAGGCUUACUUGGGUUUUCCUUUCUCACUGCCUUUUCUUCCCUCCUUCCAAACAUCAGUCUUCUGACUGAAAUACGGCGUUGGGACAGAUGUAAAGCUGAUUAGCUGUACUCGCAGAGUAACUUCUGGAGCUGAGUUAGCUGCCUUCUGGUGAGAAUAUUUCAGGGGGAUGCGUUUUCCUAAGCAUUGCGAGGAUACAAUAUCUGUGCUCUUCUGAUUUUUUUUAAACAAACCGCAGUUUUAAGUCUGCUCUAAAAUUUUUUCUUAAAUUUAACCCAUUUAAGAAAAUAUUUGAUAACAUGAUAGUAAUCAGGUUGUACUUGAAGUCAACAUAUGCUUUAAUGUUGCUCUGAAUACAGUUGCUCUUCUGAGCUGAGGCCUGUGUUUGGAAGUUAAAUCUGAGUCUGGGACUUGAGAAAAUAUAAAAAUAGGUUGCUCCUGAGAACACAGACUGACAAUUUCUGCUCUUCCCUCUGUCUUCCAUAGACACAACAUUAAAGUUCAAUUAUUGCAUGAGACUCAUUCAUAUUUUCUUGAUAUUCAUUAUUAUUUUAAGAACACUUCAGUGUUCUUACUAGGCACAGUUCUGAAAACCUGCAAGGACUGGAAGUUUCUCCUUUUCUUACCACGAUGAAAAGAAGUGCUUGAGAGAAAUAAGUGCUGCGUGAGAAGCAUCGUUAUUACACUCCUUAGUGUUGUGCUCACUUCUUAUGCCAGUAAAAAUUUCUUUUCACUUUUCUUAAAGCGCUAUCUUAAUAUUAAGGGUUUUAUAUUUUUUGGUGGAAGCUGUUAAACUGACUGCCGUAAUGAUCGUGUUCUUUUCAGUAGUCACUCAGAGCAGAUAGAUUGGAGGGAAUUGCAAUGCAAAACUCCCCUUAAAGUGUGUCAGGUGAAAUCUGCAGAUCGCUUCUGAUUGUAUCCCUUUCUAUUUGGUUUUGGGCUUUUUUGCCACAGCUGCAGACUGUAUUCCAAAUUACUGAUAAUAACGACAAGCUGCUCUGCAAUCUUGUCACAAGCUGCACUGAAACAACGUUCAGUCUCUCCUAAGCAUGACGGCAACUCUACAUGAUCCAGAACCUGGUGGUCUGUGCUGUUCCCUUUUGGUGAACAAGGCGAUGGAGGUUGGGGGAACAGCUGACUUUUAGGUUAACUAACUCUGCAGUUAGCUACAGCCCAAGAUUUCUGGAUUUUCUCAUCUAGUCACAGCCUUCUCUUGUGUGGCUUGUAUAAUAAGAGAAGCCAGAGCUAAGUGAACUGGAGAGGUCAGUAAAAUACUAUUGUUCAGUCCUGUUCCUUGCUUAUAAAUUAAGUUGUUCCUAUUUGCAGAGAUGUCCUUUCAGUUGUAAUGCUUCUGCUUUUACUAACAGGCCAAAGAAUAAAAGUGUUUAGCAAUAGUAAGUUAAUAAAAUC